GUUCUUAUAGUUGAAUGUUACAACAGUGGUUUUUCAAGUCAUUGGUUUAAGUUAGAGUCUUAAUAAGAAUG
rnacentral:tRNA from 1 species